AUACGGAGGAUGCGAGCGUUAUCCGGAUUUAUUGGGUUUAAAGGGUGCGUAGGCGGACGAUUAAGUCAGCUGUGAAAUGCCCGCGCUUAGCGCGGGAAGUGCAGUUGAUACUGGUUGUCUGGAGUGCCGUUGCCGUGGGGGGAAUGUGUAGUGUAGCGGUGAAAUGCAUAGAUAUUACACAGAACGCCGAUUGUGAAGACACCGCACGAAGCGGUAACUGACGCUGAGGCACGAAAGCGUGGGGAUCGAACAGGAUUAGACGCCCUGGUAGUCCACGCAGUAAACGAUGAUGACUAACCGUGGGCGAUAGACCGCCGGUGGCCAAGCGAAAGCGAUAAGUCAUCCACCUGGGGAGUACGACCGCAAGGUUGAAACUCAAAGGAAUUGGCGGGGG
rnacentral:rRNA from 1 species